CUACGUGCCAGCAGCCGCGGUAAUACGUAGGGUGCGAGCGUUAAUCGGAAUUACUGGGCGUAAAGCGAGCGCAGACGGUUACUUAAGCAGGAUGUGAAAUCCCCGGGCUCAACCUGGGAACUGCGUUCUGAACUGGGUGACUAGAGUGUGUCAGAGGGAGGUAGAAUUCCACGUGUAGCAGUGAAAUGCGUAGAGAUGUGGAGGAAUACCGAUGGCGAAGGCAGCCUCCUGGGAUAACACUGACGUUCAUGCUCGAAAGCGUGGGUAGCAAACAGGAUUAGAUACCCUGGUAGUCCACGCCCUAAACGAUGUCAAUUAGCUGUUGGGCAACUUGAUUGCUUAGUAGCGUAGCUAACGCGUGAAAUUGACCGCCUGGGGAGUACGGUCGCAAGAUUAAAACUCAAAGGAAUUGACGGGGGCCCGCACAAGCGGAGGAACAUGUGGUUUAAUUCGAUGAUACGCGAGGAACCUUACCCGGGCUUGAA
rnacentral:rRNA from 1 species